UUAGUAAUCCGUUUUUCAUGUCCUGGCCAAUAAUACAAUGGUACAAAGUGCAUUACAAGUGUUUAAUGACAAGAUGCAUGCAGUACACUCCAUGGUUAUUCAAAAGAAAUGAAUCCAUUUCAUAAUUCAUAGCUCAACGAGUGAUUUGUUUACAUACCUCUUACUGCAUUGCACACCUUGUAGGAGGCAAAAGCCAGCUUCUUCCCUCCUCUGCCAAGCCAGUUGAAUUUCAGCGCGAAGUGGUUGGUGAGGAUGUGGCGAAGGAUUCUUCGAACCGCGUCACCAGGAUUGCAGCCCCCAAGCGCACUAAGGUGUGCUGCCUGCAGAUAGAGUGUCUGCUGCUGCUGCUGCUGUAGUUUUUUGCCUAGUAAGGGCCUGGAGGAGGAGGUUGUUCUGCCUCACCAAGGCCUUCAACUCCUCCACAGCACGCAGGAGUGCAUGAUCCCGUUCUACAGGACAGAAAAACAUCAUGACUGUCAUGUCAAGACCCUUUGCUAAAAUUAACAGACUUAAGUUUAAACAGAUUUUCAGUAUUGCUGUGU
rnacentral:lncRNA from 1 species